rnacentral:rRNA from 1 species
UACGUAGGAGGCGAGCGUUGUCCGGAAUUACUGGGCGUAAAGCGCGCGUAGGCGGUUUUUCGCGUAGGCGGUAAAAGCCCCCGGCUUACCCGGGGGAGGUCCGUCUAAACGGGGAAACUGGAGGGCGGUAGGGGCUGGCGGAACGCCCGGAGUAGCGGUGAAAUGCGUUGAGAUCGGGCAGAACACCAGUGGCGAAGGCGGCCGGCUGGGCCGACCCUGACGCUGAGGCGCGAAAGCCAGGGGAGCGAGCGGA